GACGAACGCUGGCGGCGUGCUUAACACAUGCAAGUCGAACGAAGUGGCGAACGGGUGAGUAACGCGUAAUCAACCUGCCCUUCAGCGGGGGACAACAGUUGGAAACGACUGCUAAUACCGCAUACUGAAGGAGGGGAUUGCGUCUGAUUAGCUAGUUGGAUGGGUAACGGCCCACCAAGGCGAUGAUCAGUAGCCGGUCUGAGGUGAUGAACUGCUAAAUUGUGACUGAGACACGGCCCAGACUCCUACGGGAGGCAGCAGUGGGUAAUCUUCCGCAAUGGACGAAAGUCUGACGGAGCAACGCCGCGGGAGUGAUGACGGCCUUCGGGUUGUAAAGCUCUGUUAAUCGGGACGCGGUACCGGAAUAGAAAGCCACGGCUAACUACGUGCCAGCAGCCGCGGUAAUAC
rnacentral:rRNA from 1 species